rnacentral:rRNA from 1 species
CGGGGUGCAGCAGGCGCGAAACCUUUGCAAUAGGCGAAAGCCUGACAAGGUUACUCUGAGUGAUCUCCGCUAAGGAAAUCUUUUGACACCUCUAAAAAUGGUGUAGAAUAAGGGGUGGGCAAGCCUGGUGACAGCCGCCGCGGUAAUACCAGCACCCCGAGUGGUCGGGACGAUUAUUGGGCCUAAAGCAUCCGUAGCCGGUUCUUUAAGUCCUCCGUUAAAUCCACCUGCUUAACAGAUGGGCUGCGGAGGAUACUAUAGAGCUAGGAGGCGGGAGAGGCAAGCGGUACUCAGUGGGUAGGGGUAAAAUCCGUUGAUCCAUUGAAGACCACCAGUGGCGAAGGCGGCUUGCCAGAACGCGCUCGACGGUGAGGGAUGAAAGCUGGGGGAGCAAACCGGAUUAGAUACCCGGGUAGUCCCAGCUGUAAACGAUGCAAACUCGGUGAUGAACAGGCUUCGUGCCUGUUCAGUGCCGCAGGGAAGCCGUUAAGUCUGCCGCCUGCGGAGUACGGUCGCAAGACUGAAACUUAAACGAAUUGGCGGUGGAGCGCAAACACUAAUGAAUUAUGAAU